rfam:Triticum aestivum genome assembly, contig: Triticum_aestivum_CS42_TGACv1_scaffold_033746_1BL
UUAUUACUCCCUCCGUUUGAAACUAUUCAUCAAAGAAAUGAAUGUAUCUAGAUGUAUUUUAGUUAUAGAUACAUCCAAUUUUAUCAUCUUUGUGACAAGUAAUUCCGAAUGGAGGAAGUAGAAU